rnacentral:lncRNA from 12 species
GAAGAAAAAAGGUGUCCCAAAUGAAGUUUGCCACAGAUACCUGAAUUAUAAUACUGUUUGGAAGUGAAAGACAAGAAGAUUCCACCUUCUGGAGCAUAGAUUCCAUGGAUUCAAAUUCCAACACUGUGGUGGUGACUGGUUUUGGUCCCUUCAGACACUACCUUGUUAAUUCUAGCUGGG